ensembl:lncRNA
CACACACGGAGAUAGAGAGAGGGGGGGUGCUAGGCUAACGGUGUAGCUCAUGUAGCUGUAAACAGUUACACUCCGCCUUACCAGCCGAGUUUAAUGAAACACCUUCCCCAGGAUGGAGGCGAGAAGAUUAAAUAAACACACCGCAAAGUCAUGAGGAUGUUUACAAACGUGAACAUUUCCAAAAAAAACAAAACAAACAAGUUUUGCGACAGGACUAAGCACUUUAGUUAGCUAGCUCACGCGCUAGUUUAGAGUGUUGGAGCUAGUGACGACGUAUCGUCUAAGCUAAGCUAUCUUACUGCAUGGAAAGUAGCUCCGGGUUCACCUUUAGCACCUAGCAUGGAUUAAUUACCUCGUUAUCCACGAGUACAAUAUUAAAGAAGGAGUUUAACAGUCAGGGUUGUUGUUUUUUCCCCUGUUUCUGGGUCGGAAACUUGACUGAGGUGAGUAACUUAAUGCUGCGCUCGUGUGUCGUGCUAAGCUAGUUAUUUCCAUCUGAUCUUUUCACUGUGUUUUGUUUUGUUUUGUUACACGGUGUUUAUGACGUGCUAGCUAGCUAACAUGGUUAACUGUUAAAGGUUUAUUCACUGCUAGCUGUGCUGGAUAACUUCCCCGGUUAGCUAGCGGAGUGUUAGUUUAGCGAGUACAGCAGUAUAAACAGUAACACCUCGCUGAUUUCGGAUUAGCCGCAGAUUUAUGGUUAACUUUCAGACCUCGAGAUGGUUAGAAAGGGGUACUAACCCAGGACUUGUACUAACCCAGGACGGGUACUAACCCAGGACGGGUACUAACCCAGGACUUGUACUAACCCAGGACUUGUACUAGCGCAGGACGGGUACUAACCCAGGACUUGUACUAACCCAGGACUUGUACUAACCCAGGACUUGUACUAACCCAGGACUUGUACUAACGCAGGACUUGUACUAACCCAGGACUUGUACUAACCCAGGACUUGUACUAACCCAGGACUUGUACUAACGCAGGACUUGUACUAGCGCAGGACUUGUAUUAGUGCAGAACACUGUGAUUUGUGGUGUGUUGUGUAUGUAGGUGGCAAAGUGUCAUUUAAAAAUAAUGUUUUUUUUUUUUUGAUUAAUGGUGUAUUUUAUUGUAGUAAUAAUCCUGAAACCACUCACACAUACAUGGAGCAUUAAUCCAGAUUAAUUUAGUCCUAAAUUCAGUGUGACAGUGUUGUGUGUGUGUGUUGUUAGUAAAUAAAACGUUUAGAGAUGAAUGUGUUUGGGGAGAUAUGUUAAGUGUGGUGGUAGGUGUGAUGGUGUGAUGGUAAGUCUGAUGGUGUGGUGGUAUGUAUGAGGGUAGGUAUGGUGGUGUGAUGGUAGGUGUGAGGGUAGGUGUAGUGGUGUGAAGGUAGGUGUAGUAGUGUGAUGGUAAGUGUGAAGUAGGUGAAGUAGUGUGGUGGUAGGUGUGAGGGUAGGUAUGAUGGUGUGGUGGUAGGUGUGAGGGUAGGUGUAGUGGUGUGAGGAUAAGUGUGAUGGUAAGUGUGAGGUAGGUGAAGUAGUGUGGUGGUAGUGUGAUGGUGUGGUGGUAGGUGUGAGGGUAGGUAUGAUGGUGUGGUGGUAGGUGUGAGGGUAGGUGUAGUGGUGUGUAUUGUAAGCGUGAUGGUAAUGUUGAAGAUAGGUGUGGUAGGUGUGGGGUAGGUAUGAUGGUGUGGUAGUAGGUGUGAAGGUGAGGGUAAGUGUGAGGUUAGGUGUGAUGGUAGGUGAAGGUGAGGGUAAGUGUGAGGUUAGGUGUGAUGGUAGGUGAGGGUAAGUGUGAGGUUAGGUGUGAUGGUAGGUGUAGGGGUGUGAGGUGAGGGUAAAAGUAAGGAAUAAUCCCCGUGUGUGGUGCUGUUACAGGAAACUAAUCACCCCACAGUGGAGGGAGUCUCAGCAUGUCCUGAUGUGUUUAUUCCUCUUACACCACUGCAGUCCAUCAUUACAGUUCUUUAUUAAUUAAAGACCGACACCUCAUACUUUUAUCCGUUUAUAGUUACAUCCUCACUUGUUAUAGCAGCGAUAAACACUUUCUCUUUUCCUCUCUCUCUCUUCUUUUUCCUCUCUUCUCUCUUUCCUGUUUUUUCCUCUCUUCUCUCUUUUCCUGUUUUUUCCUCUCUCCUCCUUUUCCGCUCUCUUUUUCCUCACUUAUCUCUUUUCCUCUCUCUUUUUCCUCUCUCUUCUUUCUUUUCCUCUCUUUCUUUUAUCCUCUCACUUCUCUUUUU